rnacentral:lncRNA from 1 species
GAAACAACAACAGGGAGGUGAUUUAGCAGUCUUCAGCAAAGCAGUACAGAUCUUGAGUCUGAGAUGCUCACACCCAUUAAACCACUAUAUUACCUAAGCUAUCUCAGAUCUCCAUCUUCCCAUGGAGGAGUGGAGUUCCUGGAGGGAAGUAGAUCUGCGUCUGGUCUGCAACCCAACAGAAAGUUGCAGGUUGCUGUGAUGACACCCUGUGUUUCCAGCACAGAGCUAAAAUGAAUAUUCUGAAACCUGAGUCAAACCAUUCUGCAAACCUGUAAGCGUUAAUUCCCGAAAUAAACACACUGAUUUUCUCCUCGACUUACCUCCUUUUAACAUGUCUCUAAGUGCUUAUGGAGUGUCCCUACCCCAAGGGUCCUUAUGCUGCAGGGAUUUUUGAUUGACAGAAAGGUGUAAUCCAGCUACCACAUUUAGUCCAUUUCCUCCAGAGUCUGAGUUUUAAAAUAAUGCAUCAAAAGCCACAGCUAUGGCUGACAAAACCAAGAGACCCACUGACUGCCAGAGGUACUUCAAGUCUACUAUCAGUUGCCAUUGCUAAUCCAUGAAAAUGUUUGCAUCCUGUCGAGCUAGGAAUUUGACUGAAAUGGCUUGUGGAACAUUCUUCUUUUCUGGAUUUCAUGUCGCCUCAUGCUUAGUAAAUAUUCUCUCUCUUCUUGAUACAAUCGGGUGGUUGCUGAGAGUCACUCCAGGAGCACAAUCUGGAUUUCAAGUCAAUUCAGUUGAGCGGGACUUAGCGUAAAAGUGCAGUGGCACCAGCAGAAGUGCAGAAAGGGCUGUGGAGAGGAGCUUCUCUGCUCCAGCCACCCAUGGCUGUGGGAACAGCCGUGGAUAUGUGGCCGUCCAUUAGAUGACUCUGAAGUCAGCAGAGCUUUGGAAGUGGCUGCUGUGUUCAGAGAGUACCUGUGUGUGUGCAUGACAUGGGAGCAGUUCAAAGCCACAAGCAGCUGCUGGAACCAUUCCCAAUCCAGUUCCCACUUCACAGAAGCACAGUACCUCCCUGUAUCCUUGGGGGAAGACAAGUUCCUCCUGCUGUCAGCCUGCAAGAAAUAAGGUUUCUGCAUGGAAGAAGAGGACUGUCCCAGCUGACAAGUGCAAAAUGGAGGCAGAGAGAAAUCACACUAAAAAGACUUGCUGAAGGACUUGUAGCCAAGAUCAAAUCUGGAUAGAUCUAUAUUACUGUAAUUUUUUCAGAGGUACUUUUGACACGUAUCAUUAAGGAAGAUCUAUGUCUCAAGUUUACCACAAGAUGGAGGUGCUGUAACUCAGAAUCGCUCAUUAAGGGAAAUUAAGGAAAAUGGUAGGUGUUUUACAACGGGCACUGUAAAUUUUUAUGGACAUAUUUAAGAAAGUAAUCAAAAAUAAUUGUAUGCAACCGUGUCAUAUUAUCUUGUUAAUUUAUUUUAAGCAAACUAUGUAAUGACAUAUCUAACCAUCUUUGGACCAGGACUAGUUCAAAAUGCCUCAGCAUUGCUUUUAAAUUACUGAAUGCUGCAGAUACUAUUCUGAGUCCCAUAUCCAUUGGAGGUGGAGAUGGCUGAUAAUGUAACUUCUUCAAAAGCAUCCAAAGUGAUGGCUGCCGGAGUCAGGUGGGUGCCACCUUCUUGGACAUAUUAUUCUGAAAUGAUCUUUCCCUAAAUUGAGCCUUCUGGAGCUUGGCACUAACCAAAAGAGAUGAUAAAGGAUGUUUUUGUCUGUAACAAGUAUAGGUCUGAUUGUGCUCUGACCUCCAUCAGAAGACCCAGGAUGGUGUUUGCCAUCAAAACGUUCUGAAACUGCUAAAUAAGUCAUGAUUAUAGUGUAGCUCACUUGCUUGUAAUAAAAGUUGCUGAAGCAGAGACA